rnacentral:ncRNA from 1 species
UUCAUCGUGAGGUAUGAUCUGAAGGAAGCCGAUGGUAAAAUCCCGAGCUGGCGAGCAGAAACUGUAUAUAGGGCUGUGCGAAGACGUAUGAGAUUGCAAAUCAAAAUCCAAUACUGCCCGAAUCUUCAGCGGUAAAUACAGUGGCUACAGGAGAGGAAAGUUAUUGGC